CUACAACGUCAUAACCCAUACUGGAGAGUUGUGGGUAGCCCAGGAGUAGUUGGGACAGCCCAGACCAGAUCUGGCCAACAGUCUCACCUUCCCAGGCUGGCUGCUCCACCAAACUACAGCAGUCUUAGAAAACCUAUUGAGAGCCAGUUGCAGUGGCCGCUGGCAAACUUUCUCAGAGUCGUUGAUUGGUCAGUGGCCGAGAGCUUUAGCCAAUCAGCGCGGUGUUUGGGUUCGCAUUUCAGACCAAAGGUCCAAGUGGGUGUCUGGCGGGCACAGUGGCCUUCAGAGACUCAAGGUAUGGAGGGCAGAGCCAGGGAGGGGUGAGCAUGUCUUGGGAGGGGACAGCCAGGCGGCUGGCACCGCCAUCACAGCUAUCGCUGCUCCUGGUGCUGAUGCUGCUGUCACGAGCCGGGGCUCUGCAUCCUGAAGAGCUCUUUCCUUACGGGGAGUCGUGGGGAGACCGGCUGCUGCAGGAGGGCGACGUUGAAAGCUCCGCGGCUGUGAAGCUAGCAGUAUGUAGAAGUAGCUUCUAUGGUGUCCAGUUCAGCAACCUCUACGUGGGCACCAAUGGGAUCAUCUCCACCCAGGACUUACCCAGGGAGACUUAAUAUGUCGUUGAUGAUUUUCCUACUGACUUCCCAGCCAUCGCCCCAUUCCUGGCUGACAUCCACUCGAGUCACAACUGUGGCCGGACCCUGUAUGGAGGACACCUCCUGAGCUGUGCUGAGUCUGGCUGAGUCUGUGCACAGGCUUCCCCGCUACCCACUUCUUCCUGGCCACCUGGGAGCAAGUGGGCGCCUAGGAGGAGGACAAGCUUGGUUGGGGCUGCAUGGUCUGGAGAGAGCUGGGGAUCGAACCCAGGGCCUUGCGCUUCCUAGGAUACGGAGACUUGGAUGAUUUUAAUCUGGAGGAUGCACUGAAAGAAACUUCCUCAGUAAAGCGUGACUCAAACAAACAAGUCCACCAAGCAAACACAAGUUGUCAGCCAUGCACCACACUGACAAUCUUGCCUUCAGAAAAGUACACGCAUAUGAGACUAGCUGUACCUCCAUCUACCUGUUUGUUCUGUUGUGCAAGGCUUGUGUCGUUUUGUCAUACGUGUGUCAUCUUCCUUUUUUUUUUUGGUUCUUUUUUUUGGUUCUUUUUUUUUUUUCGGAGCUGGGGACCGAACCCAGGGCCUUGCACUUCCUAGGCAAGCGCUCUACCACUAAGCUAAGUCCCCAACCCCUCAUCUUCCUUUUACAUUUAGAAAAUUUCAUAAUUUUCAUUAUGUGGAAACCACAAGAGAACAUGCAUCUGCCUUCACCUUUUUUCUGUUGUACAAAAAGAGAACUCCAACCCAUUUCAUUCCUCUCACUGUUUUGUUUUGAGACAGGGUCUCUUGAUUCAGCCCGAGUUGUCCUGAAAUUCUCUGUGCCAACAAGGCCGGCUUUGACUUGGGUCCAGUACUAGAGCAACAGUGACUCUUGCCCACUGAUGUGCAUUUCUAGCUUCAGAACCCAUGACUUUUUAUGAUUCUUCAGUGUGAUCCCCACAAUGGCCUCGGGGACCUAUACCGAGACCAUUGUCACGAUGUGACUUCUGUAAACCAUAAAGCAGCCCCUGUGUUUUACAAUCUGCUUCCUUUUGUCCUCCCUUCUCCCUUCAGAGAGCCACUUUAGCACCACGACUAGAAGGACAGGAACAACCAGAGCCCCAUCAAAUCCAGCAGGUAAUGAGGUGUGGGAAGUGAGGAAGGCCAGACUCACCUGAGAAGGGACACAAGGAGGGACUCGUUAGGACUCCAUCUGGGAAAGGGUCAAAAGGAGCCGUGUAGAAUUUUUAGCGGCACAUAUGAAAAGUUAGCAAAGGCACCCAUGUGAAUGUUAGAUUUAAUUCAACAGAAUCCCAUCUGGCUGGUCACUGUGCCUUACGUGAAAGCCAUGCGUUUCCACUUCCCUAUUGCUUUGGGUGACGAUGGCUGCCAGAAUCCAGGUACAGGAGGCAGAAGGGGUGAGCUGAACUUGACUUAAGCCCCAGCCGAUCCCCAUAGCUCCCAGGUUAAACAUGAGCCACUCAUAGUAGAGCAGAGUUGGGCAACCUGAGGCCUAAGGAGAAGUCUUCAACGAAGAUAUUCAGAUGUUUUCUUGAAAUUCUCUAAGUUAUUGAAGAUAUUGGAAGAGUUUGUGUAUGUGGGUCACAUCUAUAAAUACUUCUCAUCUGAGAACUUAGAACUAAAAACUGAUAUUAAUCUGAGGAAAAUAAAAAGCCAUAUGCAUUUACAUAUGUGGUGGGUUUUUAUGAGAAAUAACUGUGCUUAUAAGGUGAAAACAUAAUUUAGAGUAUAAAUGACAUUAUUUUAUAGUGUUCUGUAAUGUCUGGCUUCAAUAGAAUGCAUCUGAAUUCUUUGUGUGUUUGUGUGUGUGUGUGUGUGUGUGUGUGUGCGUGUGCAUGUCUGUGUCUGUGUGCGCCUCUGUGUGUGUGUGUGUGUGUGUGAUUGCAUGCAUGUCAGUGUGUGUAUAUGUGUGUGUGUAUGUUUGUGUGUCUGUGUGUGUGCAUGUCUGUGUGUGUAUAUGUGUGUGUGUUUGUGUGUAUGUGUGUGUGUAUGUGUGUGUUUGUGUGUGUGUGUGUGUGUGUGUGUGUGUGUGUGUUACUGUGAGACAGACCUAGGAAUCACUAUGUAGACCACACUUUACUAGACAGACCAGACUGGCCUCAAAUUCACAGAGAUCUGUCUACCUGCCUCUACCUCCCCACCCCCCGAACCCUGUGCUGGGACUACAGAUGUGUGUUACUACUCCUCCUGGAUUUUUAAUAGCUGCAUCUGGACUGAGCAGUUUUAAGUUCCUGAGGUUCAGUACAACAUGCGGAGAAAAUCCAGACUCAUGCAAAUAUGUAGGAGAAAAGGGGAAAGAACUCAAUGUACUUUUUUCCUUUAGUAUUUUCUUAUUUAUUUACUCCCUUUUUGUCCAAAUUGCUGCCAGUUUCCCUGCUGCCUUACACAGUCUCUCCCUCUAUCUCGCCCCUUCUCCUCAGAGAGGGUGGAACCCCCAGGGUAUCCGUCUCCACUCCCCAACCCCCACACCUAGCUGGUACAUCUAGCCUCUUUGGGACUGGAUUCAUCCUCUUCCACUGAGGCUAGUAAGGUAGCCCAGCCAGGGAAACAGGAUUCACAUGUAGGCAACAGCUUUAGGGACAGCCCCUGCUCCAGUUGUUUGGAGCCAACGUGCCCAAGCUGCAUAUCCGCUACACAUGUGUGGGGACCUAGGGCCAGAUGUGCAUGCUCCCUGGUUGGCGGUUCAGACCUUGAGAGCUCCAAGGGUCCAGGUUAGUUGACUCUGUUCAUGGUCCUUUGGAGUCCGUGACCUCUUCUGGUCCUUCAGUCCUUCCUCUAGCUCUUCCAUUGGACUCUUCCUAUUCUUUGAAUGGAUCAUUCACAGUUUGCUAGCACUGUGCACUAGUCACUUGGAAACACUGAUACCCCAACCAAUGCACAAUGUAAUAUAUUACAGAAUCACACCGAUUCCUGUUGCCACCUAUCUUAUUGAACAAAGCGUUCAGUAAGUCAUACAGGGUGGCACCACCUGUAAUCCCUGCACUGUGGAGGCAGAGGUGGGGAGAAUACCAAAAGUUUGAGGAUAAUCCUGUUCUGUAUUGCAAGUUCCAGGGUACUCAGGGUUACAACAGCAAGAUCUCUUGUCCAAAAACAAAUAAGCAAAUAAAUGAUGAGUAAAACAAUGAUUUAAAAAACCACCUAGAUAUUGAAAAGCUGCUCAUAUCAAAGCCACCAGUAAGUUUUUGGAAAACUGUCUUAAAUUCCAAGUUUCGUUACUGGCAGCAGAUAUGAUCAAGGGAGGCUGCAGGGAUAGUUCAGUGGCGCAAAGCACUAGUGCCUGUGUGGCAGCAUUCCUCUUGGAGGCUCUGCGGGGGAGUUAUUUCUCUCCUUUUGCCAUACACAUUCUUUGGCUUAUGACUACUUCGUUCAUCUUCAAAACCAUGGAUAUGCCAGUGUUUCCUCUUUCAGUUUGUCUAUUUUUCCGUAUCUGUAGCCCAGGCUCAUUUGAAAUUUGUUAUAUAAUUCAGGCUGCCCUCUAAGUCCUCCUCCUCCUGAGUCUGCCUGUCAGAUUCUGGGUUCAUAGGUGGGCACCACCACACUUGGUUCUCAUGGAUCUUCUGUGCAUACAGUCCUGUCACCUACAGACCGUUUUCAAUAUCCUUUCCUCAUUCUUGCUAGGACUGCUGGUACUGCAUUGAAUAGAAUUGGUAGAUUGGACACGGUUAUCUUGUUCCUCAGGUUAGAAGGAAAUCUUUCAGUGUUUCCCCCUUGACUAUGUACCCUGGUGCCAUCCUGUGUGGUCUCCAUUCCGUUGGGUGACAUCGCUUUCAUCUUCGUUACUUUUCUAGUUGCUGUAAGAAAGCUCCAGGGUGGAAGUCGCUUAAGGGAGAGUUAUUUUUGCCCAGUUUGAGUGAUGAUGGCAUAUACUCAGCUCACUCCAUCACCUGUGUACAGGCUAGGAUCUCAGACCGAAGAACCAUGUCAUCUGCCGUAGGUGCUUCUUUUCAACACAGUUUACCGAGUCAAGAUGAUCUCCUACCAUAUUGCUGGAGGCCUCUCUCUCAGGAGGUUCUAGAACUCAUUGAGUUGACAACUCGCGCUAACCACUCUAGCUUCUAUGGCUGAUAUGUGGAAUUAUCAUCAAAAAGAUGUUAAAUUUUGUCUAUUUCUCUUUCCAUACCUACUGACAUGAUCACAUGGUUUUUAUGCUUCAUACUUUUAAUGUUUAACGAUUUAAUUUAUGUUGAGCAGUCCUGUGUCCCGGGCAUAAAUCCAGUUUUGAUUAUAGGGUGCAAUCUUUUAAAUAUGCUGUUCAUUUUCUUUGCUAAUGUAAUGUUUCCUUGAUUUUUGCCUCUAUUCAUGUAGUUUUGCUUGUUUUUGGCAUUCUCCUCUGGCUUCGCGUGAGGGUCAUGCUGUUCUCAUGAAGUGAAUUUGGAAUUCUUUCCUCCUCUUCAGAUCUGCAAGGAUUUGAGAAGGAUUAGAUUUAGCUUUUCUUUGAAUUCAUUUUUAUAACUUCUCUUACCUGGAUAUUUCUUUGUUGGGAGGUUGUUAAUUAUUCUAAUUAUCAUCCAUCCGUUUAUAUUUUGAUUUUUCAUAAUCACCUUAAUAGUUUGUGUGCUUUUAGAACUCUAUCCAUUUCCUCUAGCGUGUCUGAUUUUUUGGAAUACAUUGUCCAUUGUAGUUUCCUUUGUACCUAUUUAGUAUUAGUUGCAAUGCCUCCUCUCCCAUUUAUAAUUUUGAGUCCUUAGAACAAGUUUUGAAUCUUGUUUUCUUUUCUCAAAAAGCCAACUCCAGAUUUCCUUUCUUUCCUCUCCUCCCCCUUGUUUUUCCCCGUUUGUUCUGAGGAAAAACCUAGGACCUCUAAGUAAAUGCAUGCUUGCUUCUGAGCUACGCCACCAGCCCACAAGAACCUUAGCUCCAUUAAAGCUUCCUGAUGGUUUUCUUGUCUAGAAUUCUUUGUCCUCCCUCCUUUCUACACAUCCUAUUCCUAUGCCACUUCUUCCUCUUCCUCCCUCUUUGGAGACUGAAUCUUACUAUCUUGGCAAGCAGUCCUAGCUGGAUCUCAAAUGUCAGGUCCUCCCACCUCAGCUUCCUGGAUCGUGGCCGUGCACCAGGUGGCCUGCUCUUUCCAGCUUCGUAACAACUUUUCCUCUUAUGGGCCGUGUUUCUGUUGCGAAUAUCUGAACUCUUUACUAAGCAUUCAAUUCUGAAACACUUCCUUUUGAAAAUUUAAUGGUUUAAUAUUUAAGCAAAUAGAACCUAUCAAUUUGCAGUUAGUUUUAUAAAAUGAAACCCAUUGCUUUUAGUUUUGGAAGUUUAAUUAUUCCAGCACAUUUUGCUGAAAAGAUUUCUUCCUCCCUUGAGUUACUUUGCAUAUGUAUAACAAAAAUCACUUGAGCAGAUCUGAGGUCUUUUGAGCUCUUCAUUCUGUUCUGUUGCCUGUAUCUAUCUGUCUGCCACAUCUUUGGUAAAUGUUAACUAUGAAAUAUUAGGUAGAGUGAUUCAUCCCACUUUAUUCUUUAUAAGGUUUAAAAACGACAAUCUCAGGUUCUGCCUUCCCCAAAAAGUUUAGAUCAAAUUUGACUAUUUAUGGAAAGAAACAAUCAGUGGGACUUCUAUAGGCUUUCAUUGACCAUAGAGAGUGUGGGAGAUGAUGUUGCUAGUGUGGUGUGUUUUCUGGUGUGUGUCUUUAUUUGGAUCUUCUUGGUUUUAUACCUUUAGGUUUACUUUACGUUUAUAGUAAUUUCCCUCACCUCUGCUUUAAAUACUUUGCUUUCUGAGACACUGCUGAAAUGAGUUCAGUAGCAUCGACAUGUAGUAGUGAUGACAAGGCAGCAUCCAAUCCAUCACUUACAAAAUGCCACAGUAGUUCUCCUUUACUCUUAACCUGGGCCCCAUGUAACCCCACUGAUCACGUUGGAGUGACACGCAGGAAGCACAGAGACAGAGACAGGAAGUGGAUAAUAAACCUUACAUGUCACCUUCCAGUGACGUAUUCCCAACAAUUGGCCUGUAGGGUCAUUUCACGUUUGACUACAACACCCAUUUGUUUCUUGUUCUGUGACGGUGCAAGUGAGUUGUUUGGAAAUCCUUGUUGUUUUUUCUUUUCAUUUCUUUCUCUUUUUGUUUUUGUUGUUGUUUCUUUAAUGCAGGGUUUCUCUUGGCUGUCUUGGAACUCACUCUGUGGACCAGGCUGUUUUCAAGUUCAGAGAUCCUCUUGCCUCUGUUCCUCAGAGUGCUGUGAUUAAAAGAGUGCAUCGCCAUAGAUCACAUGAAACUCAAGACGGAUGACCAAAAUGCGGAUGCUCCACUCCUUCUUUAAAAGGGGAACAAAAGUACCGUUAGAAGGGGAUAGGGAGGCAAAGUUUAGAGCAGUCUGAAGGAACGGCCAUUCAGAGCCUACAUGUGGCUCCACAUGUGGCCCAUACUUAUACAGCCACCAAACCAGAUAAGAUGGAUGAAGCAAAGAAGUGCAGGCUGACAGGAACCAGAUAUAUAUUUUUUCCCAAAAUGUUUUCUGCUGAGUGUUUAGAAACUAGCUUUUUAGAUCUUUGAUCCACUUUUAGUUGAUUUUAAUGUAUGGUAUAGCAUGAUGGUCAAAUUUGCUUCUUUAACCACUUUCAGUUUGUAAAGCAGUUCUCUGUACAGCACAUAAAUGCUAGCUUAUAAAACAAUUCUCUGCACAUUACAGACAACACCAGCUCAUUCAUCUCUGGGCAUCAUAAUCUGCUGUUUAGUUCUUGCACAAACAGUGGAGGAAACCAUAGCUCAUAGGUCUCGGGGAUCGUCUAGAAUUCCCUCUCCAUGUGUGCAGCAGAUCUAGGCUCAUGUUUUAGCUCUGGUCAAGUGGUGAGAUAUGGGUCUCUCGGUCCCCAACCUAUGAAGAAUGGUUAGAAUCUCCCUCAUUUAAACCUGUUCCAUCUCUUUGCCAUCUUUUUCCGGGUAGUCAUGAGGUUGUAUAGGAGCUUAAAUAAGUACUAACGAUGGUCUAUUCACGGUGUGACUUCCUUAAACUAUGAUGUAGGUAUGCAUUUUAUUAUUAUUUAUUUUUUAUUGCUGUUUUCCCUCCUACUGUCAGAGAGAGGGGACCACAUCACCACUACUACAACGAGAAGGCCAGGAACAACUAGAGCACUGUCAAAUCCUAUGGAACUUGAUGGGUUUGACUUGGAAGAUGCCUUGGAUGAUCAGAACGAUCUAAAUGGCCCCAAAAAGCCAAGUACAGGAGAAGGAGGAGGUUGAUCAGACAAGGAUCUCGAAGAUAUCUUGGGAGGCGGGGAAUACAAACCUGACAAGAAUAAAGAUGACAGGCAACAUGACACUUGCUCAAUCACAAGCGAGUGCUUGUCACAAGGAUUCUGGACGGUAUUUUCUUCUCCUCUGGAAGAUACAAGGAAACUCUACCAUUCAGCCCCUCCAAGGCUUCAAUCAUCUGCAUGGAAGGCACAGCCAGAAGAGAGACAGUGUCAGUGCAUCCACUGCUCCACCACAGUCUGCUUUCUCAUUAGGAAAACAAAAGACCUCCCAGGAAUUCUGAGACCUGCAAAGAAGGAGAUAGAAACAGCUUUCGAAUGACUCAAAAGAAUUUUUAAAAAAAUCUAUUGAGUGAGUUCUCAUUUGAAGUUCAUAGAACACUCACUUCCUAGUUUGAAAAUUGGUAUUUGAGGAGCAAAUUAAACAUCCAAACUUUGUAAAAUCUUCUUAAAAAUGUAUCUUAAGGAAACCAAAUAGGUCCAAAAGAUGACUGUUCUACUGUAUAGAAGACUGGGAUAUUAAGAAUAUGGAAAGCAAUACAGAAUCAGAAAAGCCCACAUUCUGUAAUUCCUAUUAAAUUUAGCAAUUUAGUUACUAUGUUGAAUUCUAAUUAAAAUGUUUAGCUGUUGGGACCUAAGAAAGACAUGUAGGACCAAAAGUAACCCUGCAGAGAUUGCUUUCUUGUGGCUGAUGUGGAAAGAGGGGCUAAGGGUUCAGUGAAAGUUCAGACUGGACCAACAAGCUCAACAGGUAAAGAAACUUGCUACCAAGUUUGGUGACUUGAGUGUGAUCUCUGGAAUCAGGUCCAAAGGACAGAACUCCUCCCAAAAGUUAUCCACUGAUGCCACACAGUGCACAAAUGCACACACACACACACACACACACACACACACACACACACACACACCCCACAGACACAGAAGGGGGGGCGUAAAUAAACAUAAUAUAUUUUGCAAAGGCUUAAAUGUCACAGUGCCUAAGAAUGAAUCUUAGCAUCCAGUCAGUGUUGCAGAACAGAAGGCAGAAGCAGGCCAAGUCUUCAGCAAGCUAGCAAGUUUCUAAGAAUGUGGAUCCUGAGGCAAAACAAGGUUUGGAACCAGGGUGUGUCCAAACAGAUGGACCAUAAAAGGAUUUUUUGAGAACUUGAUGCAGACAUUUGCACUUGCACCAGAAUUAUUGUUAAUGUUGGCAUUCAUUCUACACUCCACUGAGCCAAGCUUCCUGGGCAAGCCAUCCCCAAAUAGGACUUGGAAGUGCCAUUUCCACAUCUAGCUACUAGGAUAAUGAGUCCCACCUCUAAAUCCCCUGCCUGUGAGUUCAGAGCAUUCCAGGGGUAUCUGAAAAGAUCUUCCCAGUACAGGCCCAAUACCUCUGAGACAGUCUCAUGCUCUUCCAACCCCAGCUUUAGUCUCCUUGAUGGUGACCUGGGCCCUUGAAAACAAAAGAAGUAAAAAGUUCUUAAGAAGCCGUGGCUUUUUGUUUAGCUUCUGGUUCUUAGUGGCUUUGAUGAAAAGUUGAAUUAUAGGAAAAACGAUUUUGCACAUUAAUUUGGGAUCAUAGAAUUCACAUCCAACAAACUGGCGAGACUGGGCUCAGAGCUGGAGAGGGGAGACUCAGUUGGAACUUGAGAACUGUUCAAAGCUACAUCCCAUUUCCCUUUGCAACUGCAAGAGUGGGAGAGACCGAAAUCUGAGUUGCGCUGAUUUGUGCUAUAGUAGGCUUGGUAAUGAGAAUGCACAGUGCCUCCCUUUGUUGCCUCAAACUUCAGGCUCUCCUGUCUCAGUUCCCCAAGCAUCAGGAAGGUAGGUGUGUGCUGCCACAGCGCUAGCAGGAACAGGAAGAUUUCUGUGUUCUGUUACCUUCUUCAUGGGCUGAGGCUGAGCCUGGAGUCUCCAUGUCAGUAGCAUCUUUCAAGGCUGUUCCUCUGCAGCUCUGAAACCUUUUUUUUUUUAAAUAUAAACCAAGUUUAUUUUGCCUUUUAAGUAGUGUUCAAAUAGCACUACAGGUAGGUAAACAAUGUGAAUUAGUAUACGUCAUCUCAAAAGCCAGAGUUUUGUUAUCGUUGUUGUCAUUUUUUAAGGAGUUGUGAAAAUGAUGGAGCCUAUUCUAACAAGAUAAAUAUUUUUAACCAUUUCACUUUGAGUUAAUGAAGGCUCACAAAUAAGCAACACUCCUCAUGGAGGAAAACAGAAAGCUGUUCUCGACAAGGGACAACUCACACACACAAGCAAAGAGAACUGUGUAAAAAUAACUAACUGUUCCCAUAUUAAACUUUGACCACUGGGGAGAUGCCUGGGGAGGUUCACUGUCAGAUUAUUCAAGCACUUGGGCACCCUCUAGAGGAAUAACUUGAAAACCUUCAAAACUUCAUUUGGAGAGGUUCACUGUCAGAAUAUUUAAGCACUUGGGCACCCUAUAGAGGAACAACUUGAAAACCUUCAAAACUUCAUUUGGAAAUAAGAAAAAUCUGAUUUUAUGUAAGCUAUGAAAUUUUAAGCUCAGAGGUACCACUUGGACAUUUUUAUUUGGAAACCUCUUCAGAAAUAUCUUGCUCUAAAGCACCCAUGAAAUGGGCGCAGCCACUGUCUUUGCUACUGUUCCAGUCCUUUCUGUACAGCAACACAGGGACAAUCAUCUCCAGUUUCUGAACUGCAGUAAACGGUAAGCACUGCUACAGUGUGGGACAGCUAGCUUUCCUCCUGUUCUUAGGGAUAGCAUUCUUAACAUUUGAAUGCCUGUAGCGUCGCUCAUCUUUGGCCCUUCUUCCUCCCUCCUUCCUGUCCUUCUAUUUGUCUGUGCUGGACAAAGUUCUGCCAUUAGACUGUCACCCCAUAUCUGAGUUUCUUUUCAUAGGAUUAAAUCUCCAAAUCUUAUAAAGUGACAUCCCCUGAGAUGACAGCUUGUUUCCAUGUCACUUCCUUAUGGCUGUUCUUUUGAGAAAGGCUAUCAAUGCACAGUCCAGACUUAACACAACCUAGAGAUCCUCCUGCCUCUGAUUCCCAGUCCUCAUCGCUAUCAUCUGAAAUGAGAUUGAAAGCUCAAUUUUCAACUUUUGUCCCCAGUACUGGGAGCUUUCUCUCUUGAAGAUGCUCUGAUAAUUUAGUGGGCCAGCAUUGAUUUGAAUCAGUUUGACUUUGGGUUGAUAAAAAUUUUCACUGAAUGAAUGGACUUCAUUUCUUCUCUUUGAGAGUCUCAGAGAACCUGGUUCUUAUUUUAUUCUUCAGGCCCCAAGAGUCCAGAGAGUAGAAAUAUACCAAAGGUGAAGAUUCUAGUAAGAAACGUUGUCCCAUAAACUCAGGCCUUAAAGAGAAGGCUAAGGAUGACUUAGAAGCAAAGGCAAUGUAUUUUUAUACUCUGUUCAUGGGGAGAAUAAAAAUCAGUAAGAUAGAUGGAAAGAGGACACUAAAGAAAACAGAGACCUGCCCAUGAGACCUUACAGGUAUCUGUUGGUUGGGGUUCUCUGUGACCUUGUAGCCCCAACAUCAUCUCACCUGGAUGUUCUACUAACAUCAUGCCUGGUUGAGUUUACAGUUGUUUAAGAUCAGACAUAUUACCAGUGUCGUAGUCAAUGUUCUAUUGUUAUGAAGAGACACCAUGACCAUGACAACUCUUACAGAGGAAAAUUUUUAAUUGGGACUGGCUUAACAUUUUCAGGGGUGUAGUCUAUUAUUGUCAUGGAGAGGUGGGAACACAGGAAUCCAUGGUACUAGAGAGAUAGCUGAGACUUCUACAUUCCAAUCAGCAGGUAGCAGGAAGGGAGCAAAGACAUUGGGCCUAGCUUGACCAUUGUUAGAUUCUCUUUUUGAUCACCAAGAAACAAAUAGAUUUAGGUCUGUGGAGAUUUCCAGGCAAAUAUGGUGGUUAGGCCUUGUAAUUCUAACAACCUGGAGACAGAGAAUAAGUCAUGGUGAAGACCAACUUCAGCCCAGAGUGAGACCCUGUCUCAAAAAAAAAAAAAAAACCACAAAGAAAAACAAAAAAACAAGAGCCUAAAGAAGUGUACCACAUCUUGAUUACAUAACCUUCUGGAUACCCUGAGAGAUUACUGGGGUCAGGCUAGUUGGACAAUAAAUCUUAACAGUGAAGAGUACUGAUCAAUCAAUAGGCCUUGACUGUAUAUAAAGAGAAAGGGAGUGGAGCAUAAGUAUUCAUUUCUCUCUGUGUUCUCAGAGAGGAUAAUAUAUAGACAGCUGCUCAACCUGCCAUGGUGGACUGUGGCCUCCAAUUGUUGGCCAACAUACACCCAUUCAUUAAGUUGAUUCUUGGGCAUGUGAUUUAGUAAUGGGGAAGGAACUCAUGUGGUAGGACAUCUACUAAUCCGUGUGACCAGGCAGGCAUGUUAAAAAUAGGGGAAGGGUCCAGAGGAAGCUUCAUAAACAAGAAAAUCUCCAAAUUGCAGUCUUUAAGUAUACUGUAUAUAUAACACCAACAUUAACAUGUAAAACAUAUCCUGAUUUCAAGGAGAGAAAUUCUAGUCAUGGUGGCACAUGUUUGUAAUCCUGGCACUGGGAAGAUGAAGCAGGAGGAUCUCUGUGAGUUUAGGUCAGCCAGGACUACAUUACAUAGUCAGUUCAAAGCCACCUCAUAGUUUGUCUUAAAAGAAUUUUUUUUCAGUGAGAUAACAAGUCCAGAAUAGAGAAAUAGAAAAGUCUAACAAUAGAAGUGUUACUGAGGACGCAGACAGAUAGGGGGCACUCAAAAUCCUGGGACGUGGUGUAAGUUGGAAAACAUUUUUAUGCCAAUAAAACUAGGUGUGCACACACUCUGUGACCGUGAAGGCACUUGCCUGUGUACACUGCAUUAGAGGAUCUGCCUUCUCAGAUCCAAAUCCUCCAUUUCAAGAUGCAAGAAGCAGAGCCACACUGACUGCUGGGUGAGUCUACAGGGUGAGUCCGAAGUCAUAAGUGCUGUGGACCCCCCUCAGUCCUGCAACUCUUGAGGGAAGCUGGUACUAAUGGUCCAGAUUUGGCUCCUCAACACUUGGGUAAAUUGCUAGUGAGAGCAGGGUAUGUAGUCUCUGGGGCCUGAAAAACAUUUGACUGUCAUUCUUGGAGUUAAUCUACUGUGCAUGACUAAAGGAAUCUGCACCCAGGAACUACUAGCUGGUAGCUUGGUGACAGUAAACAUGUACCCUUUCCCUGGAGAUACCCCAGAGUAACCUCAGAUUGGUCCCAUUUCUAGCUGAUAGAAUUGGAGGUAGCACUUAGAUUGGCUAUGAGCUCCCUGCUUCUGAUCUUUUGGAUUAUCAGGGUUUAAUGUCUUUCCUACAAAAAAGACAACAUAAGAAAAGUACAAUUUAUUGAGGUUGGAAGCCCACUGUCUGUGGCUGGCAUCAUUACCAUGACAUCGUUCUGUGAAUAGCAUAUGAAACUGGGCUCUAGCAUUCAUGUGGUAAUUUGUGCCAAAACAAGUUUGCUGCGUGAUCAAGACAAGAGAGAUGAAGCAAUAGAAAAUAUUUGGUAAUUUAAGAACAUACGACUUUAAAGUUUUAAGCUUGGAAAUUUGUUAUAAUCAUACAAAUAUUAUUUUAAAAUGAUUAUGUGUUCAAACAUGUAUGGCUUAAUUAAACGAUUAAUGAAACAUAUAAAUCUAAAGAAAAUGAGAAAACUAUCAUUAUAAGAACUGUGCCUGUUUUAUCUUUAGUGUGUUAGAGACUCUGGUGAUGAACUAUAUUCUGUAUCCCCAUUUAACAGGGUGUGGUGACACUGGGUGCUGAGGACCACAAUGUAUGGAUUUUCACCAUUGGUUCUAAGCUCUGUGUCAGGAUGCUCUCUGUCCACAUAAGAUUACCAGUCUGGAACUUUUGGUCAAGCUCAGACAUGAGCAAAGGCUCAGCCUUGUGAAUAUUCCUCUGGGUCUGUUGCAGGGUCUUUAAGAAUGUGACAGGGGAAUGGCUAGUAACUUUUGCCUAGUGAACAUCUCAAUAUGGGUGGCAUCUGACCCUUAGUGCAAAAAGUAGGAGGUUAGUCCAAUUUUCAUAGCUUUUAUUGACACAUUUAUUUUACCCUUCCUGAUUUUUGCAGCCUCUAUGCACAAUCUAAUUUUAGAUGAACAUUUAGGGCCUUUGCCAGAUUUAGGGGAAAGUUUGGUCAUGAAGGUGAGGGCAUUGUCAAAUCUCAGCGGUAGAGGCAACCCAUAUACAGAAUUUUUUGUCUUCUGAUAACAGCAGAGAGUAUGGGUCUCUUGUUCAACAAGAACUGCCAUCCAUUUGCCUCCUGUUU